UACGGAGGGUGCAAGCGUUAUCCGGAUUCACUGGGUUUAAAGGGUGCGUAGGCGGGUAGGUAAGUCAGUGGUGAAAUCUUCGAGCUUAACUCGGAAACUGCCCUUGAUACUAUCUAUCUUGAAUAUUGUGGAGGUAAGCGGAAUAUGUCAUGUAGCGGUGAAAUGCUUAGAUAUGACAUAGAACACCUAUUGCGAAGGCAGCUUACUACGCAUAUAUUGACGCUGAGGCACGAAAGCGUGGGGAGCAAACAGG
rnacentral:rRNA from 1 species